rnacentral:rRNA from 1 species
CCUACGGGAGGCAGCAGUGGGGAAUAUUGCACAAUGGGGGAAACCCUGAUGCAGCGACGCCGCGUGAGUGAAGAAGUAUUUCGGUACGUAAAGCUCUAUCAGCAGGGAAGAAAAUGACGGUACCUGACUAAGCAGCCCCGGCUAACUACGUGCCAGCAGCCGCGGUAAUACGUAGGGGGCAAGCGUUAUCCGGAUUUACUGGGUGUAAAGGGAGCGUAGACGGCAGCGCAAGUCUGGAGUGAAAUCCCAUGGCUUAACCAUGGAACUGCUUUGGAAACUGUGCAGCUAGAGUGCAGGAGAGGUAAGCGGAAUUCCUAGUGGAGCGGUGAAAUGCGUAGAUAUUAGGAGGAACACCAGUGGCGAAGGCGGCUUACUGGACUGUAACUGACGUUGAGGCUCGAAAGCGUGGGGAGCAAACAGGAUUAGAUACCCGUGUAGUC